CUUACCAAGUAACCAUUACAAGUGAUGGAGCCCUGCCUUUUUGAGGAUGGCUGAACACCUGCCUGCCAAAAGGAAGUGGGCUGAGUGAGUAAGUGCCUGUGUGGUGCUUAGCUGCUAGCUGGAGUUAAACUCUGACAUCACCCUGAUGCAUAAACUACCUGGCACUUAACAGGAUUAGAGAGCUUGAUCCUCCCCAGUCCAAGAGGUUGAUUUUUUUUUACCCUUUGAAAAUUAUCUGUCAAUUGAAUGCAAGAGUAGCUGAUUCAUGAAAAAGAGGAAUGCAAAAUCUAGUCCUAGCGGGCAAGUGAAAAAAGGAAGAUGAUUUUCUGCCCUUCUCUUUAUUCUUUCUAAGUUUACCUACAUAACCUGCUAUCAUUUUUAGGUGCCCCAUAGUUCAGGAAAAAUAUUUUCAGUACACCUUUGAACAUUUGUCAGUGCAAUAUUGAAGGUUCA